UAUUGAUCAAGAUCAUUCAAAGACAAUAAAGAAACGCUAAAUGUUUUCAAGGUAUAAUUCAAAUUAGAAAGUAGGAAAAAUUGGGGGUCUUCGGAUAUUAGAAACAGUAAAGAAAUUUGAAACAGAGGAUGAAGAAACAGAGCAAUUCUUCAAUCUUCAGCCUUUUUCUCCCCACUCAGCUCUCCACUCUUUCCCCAUAUGACGUUUCUGCUUGAGUUUUGGAGGCUCUUGAGCCUCGCGUCUUGAGCGAAGGGAAACCUAUAAUAGAGGAGAGGCGGUGUUGUCUAGGUACGUAGUCACGCUCUUAUUAAGCAAGUGCUGGUACUUCCCGUUUCAUAGAAAAAAUUUUUGGAAAUUUCAAUGUUUC
rnacentral:lncRNA from 1 species